AAUAAAUCAACUUUUGAGAUUUUAGACGUAAUGUUUAGCUCUUCGUCUUAUUUAAAAAAAUUUUAUGAUUAAUAAUUUUAGUUUUAUUAGAUGAUAAAACAUGAAUAGUACUUUAUGUGUGACUAAUUUUUUUAAAAAUUUUUAAAAAUUUUUCAAAUAAGACGAAUGGUCAAACGCUCUACAUAAAAACC
rnacentral:pre_miRNA from 1 species